rnacentral:rRNA from 1 species
UAUGUGAUCGUCUCUCGCAUAUCAAUAAGCGGAGGAAAAGAAACUAACAAGGAUUCCCCUAGUAACGGCGAGUGAGGCGGGAAGAGCUCAAAUUUGAAAUCUUAAAGGGUUUCCCUUUACGAAUUGUAGUUUAAAGAAGUGUUUUCUGUUGAGGUCUUGGUAAAAGUUCUUUGGAAUAGGACAUCAUAGAGGGUGAGGAUCCCGUAUUUGACCUUUACUUUCAACUUUGUGAUACACUUUCAAAGAGUCGGAUUGUUUGGGAAUGCAGUCCAAAAUGGGUGGUAAAUUUCAUCUAAAGCUAAAUAUUGGCGAGAGACCGAUAGCGAACAAGUACCGUGAGGGAAAGAUGAAAAGAACUUUGAAAAGAGAGUUAAACAGUACGUGAAAUUGUCAAAAGGGAAGCGUUUGACACCAGUGUUGUUUUUCUGAAAAUCAAUUAAAGAACUGUUUAUGCUAAGUUGUUUAGACUUUAUCAGCUAACUGUUUAGUUUUGAGCUUUUCUUUAAUGCACUUUUCAGUUAACAAGUCAACAUCAAUUUCUUUUGCUGUAAAAAAGCUUGAGGAAGGUGGCUUGAGAUUCGUCUUAAGUGUUUAUAGCCUCUUGCCUAUGCAGUCGGAGAGAUUGAGAUCUGCAGCGUAGAUCCUUCGGGGCUAAAUGCAUUUGUGCUAAGUUAUAGCAUUUUAUAGACAACUUGUUGACUAUGAUUUGUCUUGUAGCUUACUCGCUUAUGUUAUUUUACCUACGCUUAGGAUGUUGAGUCGUAGAGCACGCAG